rnacentral:lncRNA from 1 species
GAUUUGGGAGACAUGGUGGCAAGGCUCAACCACUUCCAAGGUGAGUGUGGCCCUCUUGUGGAAAUUUCCUUCACUUGGGAAGUAACCAAUUACAAUAUCAGGCUGUUUGAGGAUGCGAGAAGUUUGAUGUUGAGACGUGAAUCUUUGCGUUCUGACAGAUCUGACUAUUUUGCUGCAUGGGGAGACUGGGUCUUCUCCUCUGGCAAACACUACUGGGAGCUGGAUGUGGAGAACUCUUGGGACUGGGCUCUGGGAGUCUGUAAGGACUCCUGGAUAAGGAAGAAUAGCACAAUGGUUAAAUCUAAGGAUAUAUUUCUUCUUUU